GAUGAACGCUGGCGGCGUGCCUAAUACAUGCAAGUCGAGCGAACAGAUAAGGAGCUUGCUCCUCUGACGUUAGCGGCGGACGGGUGAGUAACACGUGGGUAACCUACCUAUAAGACUGGAAUAACUCCGGGAAACCGGGGCUAAUGCCGGAUAACAUUUAGAACCGCAUGGUUCUAAAGUGAAAGAUGGUUUUGCUAUCACUUAUAGAUGGACCCGCGCCGUAUUAGCUAGUUGGUAAGGUAACGGCUUACCAAGGCAACGAUACGUAGCCGACCUGAGAGGGUGAUCGGCCACACUGGAACUGAGACACGGUCCAGACUCCUACGGGAGGCAGCAGUAGGGAAUCUUCCGCAAUGGGCGAAAGCCUGACGGAGCAACGCCGCGUGAGUGAUGAAGGUCUUCGGAUCGUAAAACUCUGUUAUUAGGGAAGAACAAAUGUGUAAGUAACUGUGCACGUCUUGACGGUACCUAAUCAGAAAGCCACGGCUAACUACGUG
rnacentral:rRNA from 1 species